rnacentral:misc_RNA from 1 species
CGUAGCCCAUCCAGUUACAAUCGGCUAUGUUCGCAGGGACAAACGUGCAGGCCCAAGCCUCUCGCGAAGCUUAUAAAGUGGGGUCGCCGCUUGACAACAGGAGCAAAAUCUCUGUGUUCAGCAAAACCCGGGUCGGGUUACACUCCUUUGGUCGAGGAGCCUAUCCAUGAAAAGUCGGUGACAGUGCCAAAGGGACAUUUGGCGAUUUAUGUGGGUCAAAAGGAUGGUGAUUUCCACAGAGUUUU